UACGAAGGGAGCUAGCGUUGUUCGGAAUCACUGGGCGUAAAGCGCACGUAGGCGGAUGUGUCAGUCAGGGGUGAAAUCCCGGAGCUCAACUUCGGGACUGCCUUUGAUACAGCACGUCUUGAGUUCGAUAGAGGUGGGUGGAAUUCCUAGUGUAGAGGUGAAAUUCGUAGAUAUUAGGAAGAACACCGGUGGCGAAGGCGGCCCACUGGAUCGGUACUGACGCUGAGGUGCGAAAGCGUGGGGAGCAAACAGG
rnacentral:rRNA from 1 species